GACGAACGCUGGCGGCGUGCUUAACACAUGCAAGUCGAACGGACAGACAGAGAGCUUGCUCUCUUGAAGUUAGUGGCGAACAGGUGAGUAACGCGUAAUCGACCUGCCCUUCAGAGGGGGAUAACAACGGGAAACCGUUGCUAAUACCGCGUACGAUUCAUGAACGGCAUCGUUUAUGAAUGAAAGGUGGCCUCUAUGUAUAAGCUAUCGCUGAAGGAGGGGAUUGCGUCUGUUUAGCUAGUUGGAGGGGUAACGGCCCACCAAGGCAAUGAUGAGUAGCCGGUCUGAGAGGAUGAACGGCCACAUUGGGACUGAGACACGGACCAAACUCCUACGGGAGGCAGCAGUGGGGAAUCUUCCGCAAUGGACGAAAGUCUGACGGAGCAACGCCGCGUGAGUGAUGAAGGUCUUCGGAUUGUAAAGCUCUGUUAAUCGGGACGAAAGAGUUCUGCGUGAAUAAUGCAGAAAAGUGACGGUACCGGAAUAGAAAGCCACGGCUAACUACGUGCCAGCCGCCGCCGUAA
rnacentral:rRNA from 1 species